rnacentral:rRNA from 1 species
GCAGCAGUGGGGAAUUUUGGACAAUGGGCGCAAGCCUGAUCCAGCAAUGCCGCGUGCAGGAAGAAGGCCUUCGGGUUGUAAACUGCUUUUGUACGGAACGAAACGGCUCUGGUUAAUACCUGGGGCUAAUGACGGUACCGUAAGAAUAAGCACCGGCUAACUACGUG